rnacentral:rRNA from 1 species
ACUUUCAGCAAUGGAUCUCUUGGCUCUCGCAUCGAUGAAGAACGCAGCGAAAUGCGAUAAGUAAUGUGAAUUGCAGAAUUCAGUGAAUCAUCGAAUCUUUGAACGCACCUUGCGCUCCUUGGUAUUCCGAGGAGCAUGCCUGUUUGAGUGUCAU